GAUCAUGGCUCAGGGCGAACGCUGGCGGCGUGCUUAACACGUGCAAGUCGAACGAGAAUCUGCGGAUCGAGGAUUCGUCCAAGUGAAGUAGAGGACAGUGGCGGACGGGUGAGUAACGCGUGAGGAACCUGCCUUUCAGAGGGGGACAACAGUUGGAAACGACUGCUAAUACCGCAUGACACAUUGGGGUCGCAUGGCCCUGAUGUCAAAGAUUUAUCGCUGAAAGAUGG
rnacentral:rRNA from 1 species